CACGAAGUCACACGGGGAGUGCAGGAUGCCCAGGAUUCUGGGUGACCCCAAUGUGUCCCUCUCUGUCCCCAGAAGUGGCUGCAGGGCUCAGCAGGUCCCUGCUGUUCCUGGUCACGCUUUUUUGGUCUGCGAUCAAACAAUUGCCUAGACCAUCAGCUGAGAGCCUGCAGGAGCUGCCCCAGCCAGUCCAAGAGCUCAGGAAAAGAUGAACCAUCAAGAGAAAGGACACCAAAAUCCACCAGCUUCAUCUGCUGUGAGGAGGAGACCAACGCCAGAAGUUGAACAGGUUCCCACCUGUUUUGCCCAAGCUGCUGCACAAACUCUUGUUUCUCCCUUCCCUGAGACAAAAGCCAGCCCCCAUUUUGUCCCAUCUUUACCACACAGCCAGCCCAUUUAUUUCUUGCCCUGGGAUUUUGGAGUUUUUUUGCUGCUGUUGGCAUGUGUAAAGUUGUGAAUGUUCAAUAUCUAGCAUUUAUUCAAUUCUUUUCCUGUGCUGUGCAGGCAUUUUCUUUGUAAAUAAAGAGGGGUUUUUUCCACUUUCA